rnacentral:rRNA from 1 species
AGGGCAAGUCUGGUGCCAGCAGCCGCGGUAAUUCCAGCUCCAAUAGCGUAUAUUAAAGUUGUUGCAGUUAAAAAGCUCGUAGUUGAAUUUCGGGGUUAGUAGGUUGGUCAUGCCACUGGUAUGUACUGAUCUUACUGAUUCCUCCUUCCUGAUGAACCGUAAUGCCAUUAAUUUGGUGUUGCGGGGAGACUGGACUGUUACUUUGAAAAAAUUAGAGUGUUUAAAGCAGGCUAACGCUUGAAUACAUUAGCAUGGAAUAAUGAAAUAGGACGUUCGAUCCUAUUUUGUUGGUUUCUAGGAUUGACGUAAUGAUUAAUAGGGAUAGUUGGGGGCAUUAGUAUUCAAUUGUCAGAGGUGAAACUCUUGGAUUUAUUGAAGACUAACUACUGCGAAAGCAUUUGCCAAGGAUGUUUUCAUUAAUCAAGAACGAAAGUUAGGGGAUCGAAGACGAUCAGAUACCGUCGUAGUCUUAACCAUAAACUAUGCCGACUAGGGAUCGGAUGAUGUUGAUUUUUUAAUGACUCAUUCGGCGCCUUACGGGAA